AUUCCAUGUUGAGGACAAUUAGCACACAAUUGUUUAAAUCUUUCCCAAUACUCAUGAAGGGUUUCUGUAUCUUUCUGCUUUAUUCCACAUAUCUUCCCUUCUGAUGCU